UGCCAGCCGCCGCGGUAAUACGGAGGGGGCAAGCGUUAUUCGGAAUUAUUGGGCGUAAAGGGCGCGUAGGCGGCCAUGCAAGUCAGGGGUGAAAUCCCUCGGCUCAACCGAGGAACUGCCUCUGAAACUGCAUGGCUUGAGACCGGGAGAGGGUGGUGGAAUUCCGAGUGUAGAGGUGAAAUUCGUAGAUAUUCGGAGGAACACCAGUGGCGAAGGCGGCUCACUGGCUCGAUACUGACGCUGAGGUACGAAAGUGUGGGGAGCAAACAGGAUUAGAUA
rnacentral:rRNA from 1 species